UUCAGGAUGGCGCCAGGCAGCUCAAUGCUUGCAGACAGCUGGGGCGCGACGCAACUUAAGGAGGGUCUGUCAGUGUCAUCAGUGGGGGAGGGGCCUGCCCUGCUCGCCCUAAUUGAAUAUUGUGGGCCAGGAGAGAUGACCAAGAACUGCUGCAAGGAUUUUUCUUUCACAGACCCUGCAAGAGUCUCACCAAUAGUGCUGCACAAAGUACUGACACAGGCAGCCUCUGCGACGCCACUGGACGUGACGUCAUCUCCAGAGUAAACAGCCAGGAAAUGAACCCUCUCAGCAAGCAGAGCAGAGCGCGCAGGCUGUUCUGGAGAGGAAAUGCGCGCGCCCUUUUCCAGAUACCCAGAGAGCAUGUCUCACUCAAGCGAACCUGAGACUGAACCUGGAUGGAAACUGCUGUACCGCCUCACAUCGAACAAUCUCACCGCCAUUGUCGAGCUGUCAACGGACUCGUGUAAUUAUCCUCUUGAAAAGUAUCGCGCUCCAUUAUCCACCAAGUAGGCUAUGCGUUAUAGGUGCUCCGAGGCAACACAUGACGGUAAAUGUAAAAAUCCUGAUACUGUUUUUUUGUUUCUUGUCUGGAUGCCUGGAGGCUUACAGAGUGGGACAUCUCUCAAGACGUGAUUUCCCAAGCUUCAGUGUCAAGAGGGAAGGAGAGUGGAAUAAAAACUGGUCCCCUUUAAAAGUUGUCAUUUGUAAAUCCCCACCACUGUCACAGCAGAAGGGGGGGGGGCUGUGUGUGUGUGAGUGCGCGUGCGUGCGUGUCUGUGCGUGCGUGAUAAAAUAACCAAAACAAACCAAAUAAAAAGCAGAUGUCUAGUCUACUACACGGCGUCUGAUUCAUAAAUGUUGGUGGUAGUAUGAUGGCUGGUAGUUUUGCCUGGUGGCGGGCACAGCAGUAGACUGGGAGAUCAUUUGUGAGCGAUUAUGUCAGGGAACACUGAUUAAAAUCAGAAGACAUCACACAUUUCACCGAGGGUGAGAAUUUAAGACAGCGCCGGAUUAUUUCAUUGUCAGAGUGAGAUGAACUUUAUAGAUAGCACCUCUUUGUUUACUGUGUCCACAUUUUGCCCCCCCCCCCCCUAGGCUAACUGUAAUUAUGACAAAUGUAUUUCCCAAGGUUGUAAUUAUUAGGUGGUAGUUAUAGUCUUAUAAUAAUAAUACAUAUUAUUAUAAUAACAACAAUAAUAGUAGUAAUAAUAGUUAUAAUAAUCAUAAUAACACUACUACUAGGCCUACACUACUACUGCUACUACCACUACUACUACUAAUAAUAAUAAUAAUAUGCAUAUUGAUAAUACCAUAUAGGCUAUUCAAUUUAUUACUAUAAAUUGUAUCUAUUACAUUUUUUAAUAUACAUUUUUGGUUGAUCAUAUAUGUGUGUCCAAACAUUGAAGCAUCAUCAUUAAAACAGGGAGAUAAGCACAUUCCAAAGAAAGCUUCCCUGACGCUCUUUGCACUGUAACCCAGUUUUGGGGCAGAUGAAAAACAGGGAAGGCCCAGAAAUGAAAUUUAAUUAAAGUGCCGGCAUCUGGCUUAGGAGACUUUUGAUGGGUUUAGAUUUUACAGUUUCAUUCUAAUG